AACCAUUGUGAUGGUCUAGAUAAGUGUACAUGCUUAGGCCUUCUGAAGCAGCAUUUGAAGCUGCAGUCCUGAAAACCAUGCAGGCCGGAAGAGUAGAUAAAGAAAUAUUUAUUUGAGAUGGCACAUGUUUCUUCAGAAACUCAAGAUGUUUCCCCCAAAGAUGAAUUAACUGCUUCAGAAGCCUCCACUAGGUCUCCAUUGUGUGAACACACCUUCCCUGGGGACUCAGACUUACGGUCAAUGAUUGAAGAACAUGCUUUUCAGGUUUUGUCACAAGGAUCCUUGUUAGAAAGUCCAAGUUACACAGUUUGUGUCUCUGAGCCAGAUAAAGAUGAUGAUUUUCUUUCUCUGAACUUUCCCAGGAAACUUUGGAAAAUAGUGGAAAGUGACCAAUUCAAGUCUAUUUCAUGGGAUGAGAAUGGAACUUGCAUAGUGAUUAAUGAAGAACUCUUCAAGAAAGAAAUUUUGGAAACAAAGGCUCCUUACAGAAUAUUUCAAACUGAUGCUAUCAAAAGUUUUGUUCGACAGCUCAACCUUUAUGGAUUUAGUAAAAUUCAACAGAAUUUUCAAAGAUCUGCCUUUCUAGCCACCUUUCUGUCAGAAGAGAAAGAAUCGUCUGUCUUAAGCAAGCUUCAUGUCUUUGUGUUUCACCACAGUCUAUUUGGAGCAACAUUCGGAGAACAUCACUUUCAGCCAUGCCCUUUACCAUCUGGUAACAAGGCUCCCAUUUCUACUUGGAGUGGAGAUUCCUGGUUGCUGUGAUGAAAUGGGAUACACUGGGGAUCCAGCUGCACAACUUUUCGGAAGCAGCAUUCACUGUGGAUUUGGAACAUCACGGACGUUCUUCAUCUUGAGUCAUCACUUGAGUAAUAAAGUAGAUGGAGAAGAUGUACUUUCUCCCUCACAUAAAUGCAAUUAAUAUCCGUGCGUGAUAUAUAUAAAGCAAACAUAAGACUGAAGGAUGGAGCAAGAAGAUAAACUGAUUGAAGCAUGUCUAUAGGGAGCCUUCCUGAACCACCUUUCUUGAGCUCUGAUUAUGUGGCAGAAAGGGAAGAUUUUUGAAAUUUGAUACGCUUCACCAAAAUGAAACUUUCCAGAUCUUCAACUUAUGAAAACAGGUAUUUAUGUUGCAACUUACAUUUAAAAGAUGAGUCGAAUUACUCAUAAUCCUUAGAAGUUAGCUUGUCCGCAUCUGAAAAUUCACUUUUACCUUGAAGUUCAAUCUGUCUCUGGGAAAGACUAGAUUGGAAGAAUAAAAUUCAAGAAUGUGAUGUUUUAGUAAUGGAAAAGCCAAGAGCGUCAGGUGGCAAAAGUCCUUCUGUUACUCAAGAAAAUGCUCUGAAAAAUUCCUUUUCUCUUUUUUUUUUGUAAAGAUUAACUCCACCUCACCACCACAAUGAGGUAUUUUUCUCAGCAAUUGACACCUGUUUACUCAGUUACUCCCUGUAACUAUGUUAUGCUGUGAAGUAGGCAAUACAGUUGUUAAAGAAGAAUAA